rnacentral:misc_RNA from 1 species
GUGAAUCAUCGAAUCUUUGAACGCAAAUUGCACUCUCUUCUGAUAUUAUGCCUGCUUGAGGGUCAGCCUAAACAAAAUCCACAUAGUCGCUUUUUCGCGGUGACAUUCGUCGGCACUUGUGUCCUCUUACACCUUUGGGUUUUAAGCGGCUUACAAUUUUCUUUACGAUUCCACGAACGUUUCUAAGAUUUACUUCUUCCCCGUUUAAGGUCCUCGCUCUUUAUUAGUCGUGUCCGUUGCAUCGGAUCGCGUCCCUAAAUCUUUCGUUAACUG